AAGUCAAGAUAGUAAUUCCUUGACCCAAGAGACUAUGGACUCUAGCGAGGAGUACACAGACAGUGAGAUGAUAAGAGAUUUGAUAGUUAGGAACGACGACUUAAGGGUUAGAGCUGAGCAGGCGGAGGCACAUAAUCGUACUCUCCAGAUUUCGGAACAGCAGUACAAGGACGCUGCUCAUCGAACACAGAUGGAGUUAGUAGAGUUACGAAGGAGGUUGGAACAGAGGGAGAUACAGAUAGGACAGUUGAAGGUUGAGAUAGAAGCCAAAGACACCAGGAUAUAUACCUUGGAGCAGGCUUUAGACAUCGCCUUUAUGCGAUUCGACACAAAGUGGAUGGAGCUGCCUUUCGGCAGAGAUAUAGGCGUUGAUGAGAAUUGAAUAAAUUUAUCGUCAAACAAAAUAAGAGACAACGUAUAUAGAACUCUUGAUUGCUGUGUAUAUAUACUAUAUGCUAAUCAGGGUAACUUAUGUAUGUAGAUGUCUGGUGGAAAAGAUAUGUGGAAUAAGAAGGAUCAGAUCCAUACCCCCGAGCUAAUAUCGAAGCCAAUAGCGGAAAUAGAAGCUCAAAAUGAGAAAAUGACAGAUAGUGAUUCAGACACUAAAGUUGAAGCUGUUCAAGCAUCAACGGAGGUGUAGGACUUGGAGAACAAGGUUUCUUCACUGGAAAGGUUGUGGGAGAUAGAAAAGCUGCUACGUCAGGCAUUAAUAGAAACAAUGGAAGAACAUGAGAAGCUUAAGAUCCAAAUUGAUCAGAUGGGAGCCUCAAGCAACACUUCGUGUGCAGCUCCGAGAGAUAAGGGAAAAAGAAAGAUAGGAG
rnacentral:lncRNA from 1 species